AGCUUUAUGACAUAAUAUAAAGCACAUCCUGCUCAGUGCAAAUAAACAGCCGCAGAAUUUUAUACUGUGCUAAGGUAGCAUAAUCACUUGUCUUUUAAUUAAAGAAUAGAAUGAACGGAAACUCGAAUAUUAACCUGUUUCUUUUUUUAAAAGUAAAAUUACUAAAAAGUAAAAACACUUUUACACACUAAAUAGACGACAAGACCCUAUAGAACUUUACUAAAGUUUAGCUGGGGCGGCAUAAUAAAAAAAUCUUUCUCUAAAUACUGAAAACCUAGAUUUAUACUAAGUUACCUUAGGGCUAACAGCAUAAUUUAAUUUUAAAGCUCUUAUACAAAAUUAAGAUUAUGACCUCGAUGUUGAAUUAAGCUUCUUUUUGACGAAAAUUUCAAACAAGAAAGUCUGUUCGACUUUUAAACACUUACA
rnacentral:rRNA from 1 species